CGAUGUCGGCUCAUCGCAUCCUGGGGCUGUAGUAGGUCCCAAGGGUUGGGCUGUUCGCCCAUUAAAGCGGUACGCGAGCUGGGUUCAGAACGUCGUGAGACAGUUCGGUCCCUAUCCGGCGUGGGCGUAGGAUAUCUGAGAGGAGCUGUCCUUAGUACGAGAGGACCGGGAUGGACGGACCGCUGGUGGACCGGUUGGCUUGCCAAAGCCAUGGCCGGGUAGCCAAGUCCGGAAGGGAUAAACGCUGAAGGCAUCUAAGCGUGAAGCCCCCCUCAAGAUGAGAUAUCCCAUUCUUAUGAAGUAAACCCCCUUGAAGACGACGAGGUAGAUAGGGCAGAGGUGGAAGUGUGGUAACACAUGGAGCUGACUGUUACUAAUCGGGUGAGGGCUUGACCAACAA
rnacentral:rRNA from 1 species